GGGUCGAUGGCGUAGUUGGUUAUCGCAUCUGUCUCACAUAAUCCUUAUGGAACAUGUCCACAGGAGGUCCUCAGUUCGAACCUGGGUCGACUCA